rnacentral:rRNA from 1 species
UACGGGGGGGGCAAGCGUUGUUCGGAAUUACUGGGCGUAAAGGGCUUGUAGGUGGCCAACUAAGUCAGACGUGAAAUCCCUCGGCUUAACCGGGGAACUGCGUCUGAUACUGGAUGGCUUGAGUUCGGGAGAGGGAUGCGGAAUUCCAGGUGUAGCGGUGAAAUGCGUAGAUAUCUGGAGGAACACCGGUGGCGAAGGCGGCAUCCUGGACCGGCAUUGACGCUGAGGCGCGAAAGCCAGGGGAGCAAACGGG